ensembl:lncRNA
GGGUUUGGCUGGCAGGGAUGUCCUUGUCCCAUCACGCACAAGUUUGUCAAAUAGCUAGUAAUGCUAAUGUUAGCUAGCUAAAAUACGGUGGUCCCCUCUAUCUUAGUUAGCUGGAUAAAAUUAUAGCUACUGUAUCUAAAGUCAAUCUGGCCACAUCACAAUCACGACAAAAAGGUUUUUCUACAAAUGAUUUACCUUUUGAAAUGUUAUCGUGUUUCUAAGCCAAAUCCGAGUUGUAUUGAGCUAGGUAGGGUGGCUAACGCUAGCAAGGUGGAUAACGUUAGCUAGGCUAGUGAUUAAGGUUAGGGUUAGCUAACAUGCAAAGUAAAUUGUCUGUAAUGAGAUUUCAAACAGGCAACAUUUGGGUUGCUAGACGUUCGCGAUUUUCGCCCACUCAUCCACCCCGACCAACCACCUUACCUGUUUUGGCCUUAAGUCACCUACUCGGGGGAGGCGAAGGUCGAGAGCCAUGCGAAGGUCGAAGCCACAUGGGUCUACCGGUCGCCACUCAUUGGUCUCCCUUAGACUGCUGCGCCACUUGGGAGGCCCUAAUAUUUACUAUGUUACAACUAGUCUAUGAGACCAGGCUGGUGCAUCCUGCUGGAGGCAUGCAUUGCAUGUUAGGGCUUUUCAGUCCCAAAUGGCUGUGAUCCUUUGAACACGUUGGUUGGGGGUAAUGAAACAACUGAGCCCCAUUUAAUGAAGGGAAGCGAAGUUGGCGGAUGGGUGAUUAGCACGUGGAGCUUGGCAAAAGGGGACUAAUUGUAAUCCAAACCCAACCUUAAUUUACUCCUCGUGAUGCAGAGGUUUAAAACUCAAUUUUGGUCAAAGUCAUUCUAGUCUAAAACUAUCCUAUUCACACUUUGUAGUCAGUUUUGACACUAGAAUAAAUGUCUCUGACUCGAUGUCACAGGUAAGGGAUUAGUUGGUUUUUAGCGGCAGUCACUCUCUAAAUGACAAAAUUUCAGGGAACAUUAGUGGAGUGUAAUGUGUAGUGUACCUACCGAAAUGAAAGCACUCGUUGUAUUUUUGUCAACACUAUUGAUAAAAAGAUGAGAUGCCUGACUCUUUUCAACAUUAUGGAGGACAAUGAUCAUUUCCUUUGCCAAAAUGCUUGUAUACAAAUAACAUUUUUGGCAUUUAUUCAGUGGUGUCUUUAGUAUUCCAUCAGUGUGCAUCUCCUUCCGUUAAGCAUCUCCAGAUCAUCAGCUCUGUGCUGGUGAUUUCACAGGUCACAGCUUGAGCAGGCUGCAGGAAGAGCCUAGACCCAUGUAAUGUCCUGCUAAAUGGAUUAUAGACAUAUCAAUGCAUGUCCCACUCAAUUACACUUUAUGUGUGAAUACAGGCUAGCUGCAGGCUUGUACUCUAUAGCAAUAGCCAGUGAUACAGUCAAGGACAGUGUUAUCAAUACAAUUUAUACAAUCAAUACAAGCAAUUAUGGAUGGGAUUGUUUUUUCCCAGCUAGUUUACUUGAUGUAUAGAAUUGGAAAAACACUUAACUUUGGCAUUAGGAAUUUGCUUGGAUGACAAUGGCAUAUAGGC